rnacentral:RNase_P_RNA from 1 species
UCAGAUGGCCGGGCGGUCGCGGAACCUUUGCGGGUUUCGAGGAAAGUCCGGGCUCCACGGUAACAGGACGGCGGGUAACGCCCGCCAAGGGUGACCUUAGGGAUAGUGCCACAGAAAGCAAACCGCCGUUACUCAUAACGGUAAGGGUGAAAGGGUGCGGUAAGAGCGCACCGCGUUUAUGGUAACAUGAACGGCACGGUAAACCCCGUCCGGAGCAAAACCAAAUAGGGACGGCGCGUAAGGCUUCGGCUUUACAGGGUGUUACUUCCCCAGCACGUCCGGGUCGGUUGCUUGAGCGGCUCAGCAAUGAGCCGCCCAGAGGAAUGAUCGCCACGCGGCAACGCGUACAGAACCCGGCUUACAGGCCAUCUGAUAUU